rnacentral:misc_RNA from 1 species
GAAAUGCGAUAAGUAAUGUGAAUUGCAGAAUUCAGUGAAUCAUCGAAUCUUUGAACGCACCUUGCGCCCUUUGGUAUUCCGAGGGGCAUGCCUGUUUGAGUGUCAUUAAAUACCAUCAACCCUCUUUUGACUUCGGUCUCGAGAGUGGCUUGGAAGUGGAGGUCUGCUGGAGCCUAACGGAGCCAGCUCCUCUUAAAUGUAUUAGCGGAUUUCCCUUGCGGGAUCGCGUCUCCGAUGUGAUAAUUUCUACGUCGUUGACCAUCUCGGGGCUGACCUAGUCAGUUUCAAUAGGAGUCUGCUUCUAACCGUCUCUUGACUGAGACUAGCGACUUGUGCGCUAACUUUUGACUUGACCUCAAAUCAGGUAGGACUACCCGAUGAACUUAAG